rnacentral:rRNA from 2 species
GACAGAGGGUGCAAACGUUGUUCGGAAUUACUGGGCGUAAAGCGCAUGUAGGCGGCCAAGCAGGUCGGAUGUGAAAUCCCUCGGCUCAACCAAGGAAGUGCAUUCGAAACCGCAUGGCUCGAGUCCCGGAGAGGAAGGUGGAAUUCUCGGUGUAGAGGUGAAAUUCGUAGAUAUCGAGAGGAACACCGGUGGCGAAAGCGGCCUUCUGGACGAGGACUGACGCUGAGAUGCGAAAGCGUGGGGAGCAAACAGG